rnacentral:rRNA from 1 species
GACGAACGCUGGCGGCGUGCUUAACACAUGCAAGUCGAACGGAAAGGCCCUGCCUUUGUGGGGUGCUCGAGUUGCGAACGGGUGAGUAACACGUGAGUAACCUGCCCUUGACUUUGGGAUAACUUCAGGAAACUGGGGCUAAUACCGCAUAGGAUCUCCUGCUGCAUGGUGGGGGUUGGAAAGUUUCGGCGGUUGGGGAUGGACUCGCGGCUUAUGAGCUUGUUGGUGGGGUAGUGGCUUACCAAGGCAUGGACGGGUAGCCGGCCUGGGAGGAGGACCGGCGAAGUUAGAAUGGGGAUGCGGCCCAGACUCGUACGGGAGGCAACGGAGGGGAGUGGUGCACGGGAGGAGGGAGGAAGGUCCAGGACCGCCGUGUGCGGGGAGAGAUGAUGGGGGUAGGGUACCAAAGCCGCCUGUGACGAGGCGAGAAUGACAGUACUGGGUGAAGAAGCACCGGCUAACUACGUG